rnacentral:rRNA from 1 species
UUGAACGCUGGCGGCAGGCCUAACACAUGCAAGUCGAAUGGUAACAGGAAACAGCUUGCUGUUUCGCUGACGAGUGGCGGACGGGUGCGUAAUGUCUGGGAAACUGCCUGAUGGAGGGGGAUAACUACUGGAAACGGUAGCUAAUACCGCAUAACGUCGCAAGACCAAAGAGGGGGACCUUCGGGCCUCUUGCCAUCAGAUGUGCCCAGAUGGGAUUAGCUAGUAGGUGGGGUAACGGCUCACCUAGGCGUCGAUCCCUAGCUGGUCUGAGAGGAUGACCAGCCACACUGGAACUGAGACACGGUCCAGACUCCUACGGGAGGCAGCAGUGGGGAAUAUUGCACAAUGGGCGCAAGCCUGAUGAAGCCAUGCCGCGUGUAUGAAGAAGGCCUUCGGGUUGUAAAGUACUUUCAGCGGGGAGGAAGGGAGUAAAGUUAAUACCUUUGCUCAUUGACGUUACCCGCAGAAGAAGCACCGGCUAACUCCGUG